rnacentral:rRNA from 1 species
ACUCCUACGGGAGGCAGCAGUGAGGAAUAUUGGACAAUGGGCGGGAGCCUGAUCCAGCCAUGCCGCGUGCAGGAAGACUGCCCUAUGGGUUGUAAACUGCUUUUGUACAGGAAGAAACACUCCCUCGUUGAAGGGAGCUUGACGGUACUGUAAGAAUAAGGAUCGGCUAACUCCGUGCCAGCAGCCGCGGUAAUACGGAGGGUGCGAGCGUUAUCCGGAUUUAUUGGGUUUAAAGGGUCCGUAGGCGGGUUAAUAAGUCAGUGGUGAAAUCCCAUCGCUUAACGAUGGAACUGCCAUUGAUACUGUUAGUCUUGAAUGAGGGUGCAGUGGUUGGAAUGUGUAGUGUAGCGGUGAAAUGCAUAGAUAUUACACAGAACACCGAUUGCGAAGGCAGAUCACUAACCCUAAAUUGACGCUGAGGGACGAAAGCGUGGGGAGCGAACAGGAUUAGAUACCCUGUAGGUGACAAU